rnacentral:rRNA from 1 species
GAUGAACGCUGGCGGCGUGCCUAAUACAUGCAAGUCGAGCGAACAGACGAGGAGCUUGCUCCUCUGACGUUAGCGGCGGACGGGUGAGUAACACGUGGAUAACCUACCUAUAAGACUGGGAUAACUUCGGGAAACCGGAGCUAAUACCGGAUAAUAUAUUGAACCGCAUGGUUCAACAGUGAAAGACGGUUUUGCUGUCACUUAUAGAUGGAUCCGCGCCGCAUUAGCUAGUUGGUAAGGUAACGGCUUACCAAGGCGACGAUGCGUAGCCGACCUGAGAGGGUGAUCGGCCACACUGGAACUGAGACACGGUCCAGACUCCUACGGGAGGCAGCAGUAGGGAAUCUUCCGCAAUGGGCGAAAGCCUGACGGAGCAACGCCGCGUGAGUGAAGAAGGUCUUCGGAUCGUAAAACUCUGUUAUUAGGGAAGAACAAAUGUGUAAGUAACUAUGCACGUCUUGACGGUACCUAAUCAGAAAGCCACGGCUAACUACGUG